CGUAGAUUGGGCGUAAAGCGUCCGCAGGUGGCAGUUCAAGUCUGCUGCCAAAGACCGGGGCUUAACUUCGGAAAGGCAGUGGAAACUGAACAGCUAGAGUAUGGUAGGGGCAGAGGGAAUUCCUGGUGUAGCGGUGAAAUGCGUAGAGAUCAGGAAGAACAUCGGUGGCGAAGGCGCUCUGCUGGACCAUAACUGACACUCAGGGACGAAAGCUAGGGGAGCGAAUGGGAUUAGAUACCCCAGUAGUCCUAGCCGUAAACGAUGGAUACUAGGUGUUGUCUGUAUCGACCCGGACAGUGCCGUAGCUAACGCGUUAAGUAUCCCGCCUGGGGAGUACGCACGCAAGUGUGAAACUCAAAGGAAUUGACGGGGGCCCGCACAAGCGGUGGAGCAUGUGGUUUAAUUCGAAGCAACGCGAAGAACCUUACCAGGUCUUGACAUCCCGAUGCUAUUUCUAGAGAUAGAAAGUUACUUCGGUACAUCGGUGACAGGUGGUGCAUGGUUGUCGUCAGCUCGUGUCGU
rnacentral:rRNA from 1 species